CCUACGGGAGGCAGCAGUGGGGAAUAUUGGACAAUGGGGGGAACCCUGAUCCAGCCAUGCCGCGUGUGUGAAGAAGGCCCUCGGGUUGUAAAGCACUUUCAGUGAGGAAGAACGCCUGGUGGUUAAUACCCAUCAGGAAAGACAUCACUCACAGAAGAAGCACCGGCUAACUCCGUGCCAGCAGCCGCGGUAAUACGGAGGGUGCGAGCGUUAAUCGGAAUUACUGGGCGUAAAGCGCGCGUAGGUGGCUUGAUAAGCCGGUUGUGAAAGCCGCGGGCUCAACCUGGGAACGGCAUCCGGAACUGUCAAGCUAGAGUGCAGGAGAGGAAGGUAGAAUUCCCGGUGUAGCGGUGAAAUGCGUAGAGAUCGGGAGGAAUACCAGUGGCGAAGGCGGCCUUCUGGACUGACACUGACACUGAGGUGCGAAAGCGUGGGUAGCAAACAGGAUUAGAUACCCGAGUAGUC
rnacentral:rRNA from 1 species